rnacentral:lncRNA from 1 species
GGCAGGCUUCUGUCUGCAGAGCAUGGAGCGCUCUAAAUACCGCUGCGCAGCGCUUUGUAGUCAGGGCUCUCUUGUAAUCUAUAUUUUAAAGAUGCUCUAAAGAUAAAGCCAGGCCAUAUUCUCGUCUCGGGGAGCACUGCCACUGUGCUCUGGACACAGAACAGCCCUGGGGAAGUGAUAAAUGAACCACCUGGCAGGCACAGAGGAGAUUCAAGUUAGAUAUCAGGAAGAAUUUUAUUACUGAGAACUUACACUGAGGCGUUCCCUCCUGCAGCAGAUUCCCCGUGAUCAGCUGUGACCGUUCUUUGAUGUAACUUCUGUAAAGCUAACCUGGCAGUCUGUGGCUGGUUUUCAUGGGUUGGAUGCUCACCUUACCUCCCUCCCACAA